ensembl:lncRNA
UGGAAUGGAGGGUAUCUUGCUGGAGAUCCCUACAUACCUCAGGCCUUUGGAAUGUGUAUUCCUCAAGGCAUUAGUGACUGAUGCUAAACUCUGGGUUAAAUUCACCUUCUUUCUACUGAAGUAAUUGAAAGAGUGAAACAAUCAUCACAACACUGCUAGAAAAGCACCGCAGCCAGAAAACAAGAAUCCCUCUUUUGUGAGAUGUGAGAACUCUGAAUUGUUACUGCAAAUUGUACAGUUCAAGUGCCUGGGGUGAAAAUACAUGCAUGUGCUAUUCCAAGAUGACAUGUACGUGCACAAAGUUCUAUAAAUACAUGCACAGCAGUUGGGAGACUGAGC